rnacentral:rRNA from 1 species
CCUACGAGCGGCAGCAGUGGGGAAUAUUGCACAAUGGGGGAAACCCUGAUGCAGCGACGCCGCGUGAAGGAAGAAGGAUUUCGGUAUGUAAACUUCUAUCAGCAGGGAAGAAAAUGACGGUACCUGACUAAGAAGCCCCGGCUAACUAAGUGCCAGCAGCCGCGGUAAUACGUAGGGGGCAAGCGUUAUCCGGAUUUACUGGGUGUAAAGGGAGCGUAGACGGCGGUGCAAGUCUGGAGUGAAAGGCGGGGGCUCAACACCCGGACUGCUCUGGAAACUGUACGGCUGGAGUGCAGGAGAGGUAAGUGGAAUUCCUAGUGUAGCGGUGAAAUGCGUAGAUAUUAGGAGGAACACCAGUGGCGAAGGCGGCUUACUGGACUGUAACUGACGUUGAGGCUCGAAAGCGUGGGGAGCAAACAGGAUUAGAUACCCGGGUAGUC